CGGAUCUGUCAGUUUAAACGUAGCAAGAGGCGGCGAAUAAGAAAACACUUGCCUUGAUGUUUCAGAAUGGGGGAAAAGGCAACACUUCCACCGAGUCGAGAUCGCCCUCUCGCGUGAUAUUGUGGUAUGUGACGUCAAAACGUGGUGGACGUGGGUGGCUCCACUGUGAAGCCUACGUGCGGAUCGGAACGUUGACUCGCUCGAGACAAGGUGGUUCUCGCAUUUUGGAAUAAUGUCACAGUGCACGUGUGAGACGGAGUAACUUCAUCGUUACUUUGCCAUUUACGAUCAAGCACGCAUGUGUACUGCUGUUAUUGCAUUAAAAAAAAGUGAAAUUCCGCCGUCGGCAGCAGUGGUGCCUGCGCCCCGCCCACUUCCCCACGUCACAGAUAGCAAAAGCAGGGUUGCCAUGGCGACAGCGUUGCUCGCCGACUCGCUGUGGAUCAAAAGUGGAACUCAAAAGACAGUUCGAGGGACAAGAUAACUAUAACCUUCACGCCACGAGGAUUGAGCCCACAGGUAUGAAUGGAUCAGAUGAUGGAACUCCUGAUCAGGAAGAUGCAGUUGAGGAGCAGCUGUACAAAGCCCAAAGGAUUCACGUCGAUAUCCUGCUCGAUAUGAGUGAGGAGGCCUUUUUAGAAGAUCUGGAGCCACAUGAGUAUCACUGCUACUGCGGCUGGGAAGAGGCUGUGCGGGGCUGGGACAGAGUUGCUCCGGUCAGCGGUAUUCUUCUUCCCCAAAAGAGAGACAAGAAACCAAAGCCGCGUAAGGAAGCGACAGACAAUCCGCCCUCCUCACACGCAGAUCCGACAUUUUACGGCGACACCUUGGCCAUGAGCGGAGAGCACUGUAGCGAGUCUCAAUCGAGCCCUCACAACUUGAAGAAAUCCACACCGUCGAGCCAGAAGGCCACACCAGACCCGGAAUCCGCGGAAUGGCAUCCACUGGACGGCGUGGAAGAAGACUUAUCACACCUGCUCCACGAAGACAGAGGCCAUCCUAUCGGGAUUCCUUUGCAUCUGCAACAUUUACCCCCAAACAUUUCAAAGGGCAGGCCUUCCAAACCGACAAAACGCCAGCCUCGAAGCAAAGUCGUUCCCAUCACAAACUUCACAUUUUUACCUCCAAUAAAAUGAUGACAGCCAACGGUCAGCCCUGCAUGCUAAUGAAUAACCCAGGAUCACCAACCAAAGAUGUCAGGAACUUU